UGAAAGGAGAAGGCGCCGUCGGUCGC
rnacentral:piRNA from 1 species